rnacentral:rRNA from 1 species
GUUUAGCGCACUUUCUGCCCGAACACUUAGCAGGGAUAGAAUAGGCCCGUCCUCUAUUUUCAGUUGGUUUUGACACGCGAGGACCAGGGUAAUGAUUAUAGGGAUAGUGGGGGCAUUAAUAUUUAAUUGUCAGAGGGAAAUUCUUGGAUUAUGAAAGAUUAAUUCUGCGAAAGCAUCUGCCAGGAUGUUUUCAUUAAUCAAGAACGAAAGUUAGGGGAUGAAGACGAUCAGAACCGUCGUAGUUUAACCAUAAACGAGCCGACCAGCGAUUAGGAGACGUUGAAUACAAAACACCACCAUGGGCGGUCGUUCCAUGUGCGCGAGGGCGAGGAGGCCGAAAU